GUGGAGCCGAAGUCUGCCAUCAGUGUGUGGUUUGAGAAUUCAGAAAGAUAAUCCAUUUGACCUGACAUGCAGUGUAUUACAGAGCAAAGAUUUAAAGCCCAGGAUGAAAAAGAAGCUACCAGAAGACUAAUUCCCACUCAACAACAGGAAAAGUUACAAACAGUGGUCCUAAAACAGAAGGGCUGCUUCUGGAAACUGAAGAAUUUUCCAAUAACACGAGGACCUGGUUAUGGAGUCACUACAUCUUGGAGGAAAGAGCUCUGCUUUGGAAUCCUGGAAGCUUAAGUAUCCCAUUGUUUUACUUUGGACCAGUCAUUUUACCCCCCACUUCAGCUGCCUCAUCUGCAAAAUUCAGACCAAAGAUUUUAUCCUUUUCGUUUGGAUGCUGGGGCUUAU